AGACUGUCUCACUGUCUCGGGGUCUGUAGGGAGAAAAUGAGGGCAACAGAGAAAAAGUAGAGGUGUAGUAAUGCUGAGAAGGCAAUGACCACAAACAUACUGCUGUGUUCAGAUGGAGCCUUUUUUAAAGCUAAAGAGUGGAAUGAUCUCGACUGGCCAGGACAAGAACCUGAACAGAUUCCCACAUUAGAUUGCUAUAAUCACACCAGCAGUUACCAACACUAAACCAGCACCAAUAGAGAAGUACACAGCCAGCCCUGGAAAUACUGUACAAGGAAAUAUGCAUACAGAGAGCAAAAAGCCAUGCAGGUCAUGAACUAUAAUGUGUGAUCUCUCUGACACAUACAGUAUGUACUUCUCUUACAAUGAGUAUGCUCACCACAACUUAUGCAAUAUAAAGUGCGGAAAAUGUUCUAAAAAAUAUGAACUCUACAAAGUGCAUUUUGUUGCCUGUACUGGUACUGUACUGUACUGGAGCAAUAACAAAGUUGAAUCUCCCUCUGAAUAUUGACUGUGCAUUUUUACUGCAUGUUGUUUUUGUGGCCUACUUCUGUUAUUCCCACCCAUGACUGUGGAUCAUAACAAUCAUGAAACUAUGUCAUGUUUAUACUCCCUGUGUCAGACUGCUUAGUCUGUGUGUUUAUAUCCCUGUCUUGUGCCUGUCAUUUGUACAGUUUUGUUACGCUUCACAACCGAUGGCUCAGAAACAAAAAUACAAGAUGGUGAGACUUUGUAAAGACAAACUGUACAAAGAGGGCAUAUAUACAAGGACAAAUGAGGACUAACAAAAAACAAGUGAUUACAAUAACAGGUGGAGAUACUAAAAAGGGGUGGAAGAGAAUUAAACCAGACAUGGAAGCAUGAGGAAACGAAACCAGGAAGUAAACAAACAUGAUGUUUUACUGUAGGAACCGCCAGAGAGGAGAGAAAAUAACUCUCACUGACAGCAUGUUCACUGAUGCUUUGAGGUAUCCUAAUGAAAACGUAUGCCUACUGAAAGCCUCAUGACAGAUAUUAAAGAAGAAAAAACUGAAAUCAAGCAUCU